CUUCUGUGAUGACCUCUGCUUUGAGCCAUCGUGUCUGGGCCACUGAGGAUAACCCUGUGAUGGAACUGAGGAUCUGAGUAG